UUCUCAGAAUUGAGUCACUAAUAUUCCAUUGAUUGGAUGGACUAAUAUGAAGUUGACUACAACAUUAUGGGUAGAUAUUUAGGUUGCUGUCAAUUUUAAUUACUACUGUAGUUAUUUAUUUAAAUUCAUAUCCCUCCCCCCAAAUGCUGGAUGAUUUCCUUUCCUCAGACAAGAUUUCCAGAAAGUAGAUGAUUGGGUUUAAAAAAGUGACCAUCUUCAUGGAUCUCAAUAUAUACUGCCAAUGCACAGUGUGAACAGUCUUACCAAACUCUAGAAUAAACUUGAGUUCUUUUCUCUUACAGAGAAUCUCCAAUUCAAAAAUAUUUGCCAAAAGAUAGCACUACAGCAAAUGACAUAGGUACAAUACUACAAUAGUACAAUAAUGAAAGAUGUACCCAAACUCCCGAGCAUUCUUAGAAAUUGGUAGGAAAGGGAGAACUGCCAUGUUGGAUACAGGUCCUAAGGUUGGAAUGAAGAAUAUAUCAACACCCGAGUGGCUCACAGGAACUACAAGAAGACAGAGGUAGCUAAGUCUUCCUAUAAGCCAGGUCUGUGCUUAACUCCUUAUGUGGAUUGUUUCAUCAAAGCCUCACAAAUUCUCAUUUUAACAGUUGAGAAACCUUAACUAGCAUCCAAAAGCAAAAUUCCCAAGUUCAGUCCAUAGAAAUCAGUCCAAUUUUUCCUGUUUUAUGUCUAGACUAGCAAUUACAGAACUUUUUCCAAAAGCCACGUGAAGCGUGGGGAUGGAGGGUGUGGUGAGUCUCCUAUGGGGUUAAGCAAGGAAGAAAGCAAAGAAGAAAGUGGUUAAACUGCCCUCUUUUCAGGAGCCUGCAGAGGUUUUGUGCCGCAUGAUCUGUGCUCCCUUGGGCCAGCAAGUCCCCUUGAAGCUCUACAGGAUAGAAAGAGCUGACACUCUGCAAACGGUGUCAGUCACCAAGAUAGGAGUCAACAGGGCCAAUAGGCUGGCCUUUCAGGCCACAAUUCUCCAUCUGGGAACCACAAACACGUGCAUUCCUAUCUAGAUCAGCUUUCCAGUUCAUCUUUUCUUCCCUGAACAAGCCUAUUUAUCAUGGCUAUUGUGUGAGAAAUGUCCUUUUUGUGCCGUUCCCCUUUGUCCUUCCCAGGCCUUAGUUCAACUAAAGAACAUAAGACUCUGACAUUUUGUAGGAUUUGCCUCUGAGACUGGUGCUCCACAGUGGGGAGCACUGAAUGUGCCCCAUUACCAACCAGUGUCUUGGGAGUCUUUCUGCUGAUUUUACUUCUGCGUUCACAGGAAAGACCCAGGUGCUUACUUUGACUCAGGGCUGAGAUGUAGUUAUCCCAAGACAGUCUGUAUAGAGGGAAGAAAAGGAACCUUAAGGGGAUAGAGAGGAUGAAGGCUGGCUUCAAAAGUAUAGGUAGGAGGUAGAGUCAGCUGAACUAUCUUACUUGCUGUAUUUCAAAAUAGAAACAGUCCUAUCCCAUUACAGUACUACUUUCCGAAGUCCCACCUCUCUCAGGAGAAGAUCCACACUCCUUCAUAGGGCACACAGCCCAUCAGGAAUCUUCUCCUUCCUCCAGUGGCCACUAUUUGGUCCUCAUGAGAUACACUCGAGCCUCACUGAUCCAUUUUCAAUCCUAGGAUCAUGUAGCUCUCUUGUCUGGAGGGCUCUGUACCAGCCCAUACCUUUGCCUUUAGGGAUGUUCUCCUCCUCCCUGAGUUGGGUGCCCUAAAUGCUUCUUCUUCCAGGAAGUACUCCCUGACCAUUCAAGGGUCAUCCCCUUCCUUCUGGGCUCCUAUAAAUGCCUGUAUACUCUGUUCUCAUUUAAGUGCUUUUCCUGCUGAUUAAAAGUCCCUUUUACUUAUCUGUUCUCCAAUUGGGCUACAAGCUGUUCAAGGGCAGAGACUAUGUCUUAGUCAUUGUUUUCAUACCCACUCAGUGUUUUUUUGAUUUUGUUUUUAUAACACUGCUUGACUCAGAGGAGGCACUUCAUCAAUGUUUGUUAUGGUGCAAGUCCUGACUUAGGCUGCUUCUUUAGAUGACAUGUGCUUACAUUAAAAUGUGAUAACUGUAUAGGGAUUAGUAUCCCAUUCCUAUGUUUGAGCCACUGAAUUGCAGGCUGUCUGUAUAUCUCUGGCCAACACAUGGCACUCUCUCUAUAUCACAUGGUUAUUAAGCUAGGCUGUUGAACUAGAAUCUUGCCUACAACACAGCGCUAUGCCCAGAAGGCAUUCUUUCACAUCCACACUGCUUUGACCCAGAAAACACACUCCUUACUCGAAUUCUUCCACACAACCUUGGUGAGAAAUGGAUAUAAACUUAAACGUGGAUGAUAAUGUUUCUUCCUCCUUCCAUUCUAAAUAGCUGGGUUUGGGAGCCCACAGAAAGCCUCGUCAGAACCAUCUAGUUGGUUGGGGUCUGGGAAAAGGUGUCCAUUCUUGUUGCCCUUGUUGUUUUCAAAAUUCAGCUAAGAUCUGAUCAGAUAUACACAAAGAGUGUUCUAGGAGCAGCCUGUUACUCCUGAGGUUACUUCAAUGGUCCCCAGGGCCCUGCAAAUCAUUGAUGAAAAACACAGCCUACUUUCAAAGAAUUAAAAUGACUCAACUUCAAAGAGCUGCUCGGUUUGGAGCCACCUGGUGCCAUCCCCUCACGCCUCCUGUCUGGAUAGGGUAGAAGCUACCACUUGCCACCAGCUCCUGGCCUCCUAACCCACAGCUUGUUACAUUAAGGUAGGAAAGUUUUAUGUGUAUAAUUUGUGAAGUUCUCUUAAGCAGACAGUGCUAUAUACAUGUGAAAUGCUGUUAUUAAUAAUAAAGGUUGGCACACCAAGAAUACUGUAGAAUUAAAGUAAUGAGAUUCUAUUUUUAGGCAGACUUGCCAAUAACAUGCAAGGAUGAUAAGGCUGUGAUUUAGAGCUCACUUUAACCUUCCGUUACUCUUAAGAGUACAUUUUCUGGACUGCCUACACAGCAGUCAGCACCCCCCUCCCCUGGAGCUCUAUUAAUGCUAAUGGUGGGGCCACACUUGGAGCCCAGCACGCCCAGCUAAAAAUAGGCUUUGGUCUUUCUGAGAAGGGAGACAAGUUGCUUUCACAAGAUAGAGAAAGGCCUCUUCAGUCAGCUCACAGACCAUGAUCGCUGUCUUGGGAAAUGAUCAAAAAACCUUCUAGGGCAUGUUUUGAAAUUCUGAUAUACCUGUAAUUAUGUGAAGAUGUAGGAUGUGUUUGGGAGGCUCAGUUAUGUUUAUUUUCAUGUGUGAAAAGAAAUUUUACAAAGGCCCAGGUUCGAAGUGAUUCACCACUAGAAAAGGAGUCUUGCUCCUC
rnacentral:lncRNA from 1 species